GAUGAACGCUGGCGGCGUGCCUAAUACAUGCAAGUCGAGCGAACAGACGAGGAGCUUGCUCCUCUGACGUUAGCGGCGGACGGGUGAGUAACACGUGGAUAACCUACCUAUAAGACUGGGAUAACGUCGGGAAACCGGAGCUAAUACCGGAUAAUAUAUUGAACCGCAUGGUUCAAUAGUGAAAGACGGUUUUGCUGUCACUUAUAGAUGUAUCCGCGCCGCAUUAGCUAGUUGGUAAGGUAACGGCUUACCAAGGCGACGAUGCGUAGCCGACCUGAGAGGAUGAUCGGCCACACUGGAACUGAGACACGGUCCAGACUCCUACGGGAGGCAGCAGUAGGGAAUCUUCCGCAAUGGGCGAAAGCCUGACGGAGCAACGCCGCGUGAGUGAUGAAGGUCUUCGGAUCGUAAAGCUCUGUUAUUAGGGAAGAACAAAUGUGUAAGUAACUAUGCACGUCUUGACGGUACCUAAACAAAAAGCCCCGGCUAACUACGUG
rnacentral:rRNA from 1 species